UGGGAGAAGAGAGAAAACUAAGAGAGAAAGAUUGGUUGGGAUGAAUUGAAAUGAGAAAUGAGAAGGCCUAUUUAUAGUUGAGGUUUAAGGACCAAACAAUAAAUAGCCCAUUAUCUCAAGGACCAAAAAAAAAUUUAUCCCAUGCCACUUUUUCAAAGUCAACUUUAGGGUGCUAAACUUGCACCACUUUGUAUUGUUUGCCAUUAAUGUUGUCUCCCA
rnacentral:lncRNA from 1 species